rnacentral:rRNA from 1 species
UAGGGAAUCUUCCGCAAUGGACGAAAGUCUGACGGAGCAACGCCGCGUGAGUGAAGAAGGUUUUCGGAUCGUAAAACUCUGUUGUCAGAGAAGAACAAGUCGGAAAGUAACUGUUCCGGCCUUGACGGUAUCUGACCAGAAAGCCACGGCUAACUACGUG